GCCCGCGGCUACGGGGCUGGCGCUGCCGGAGCCGGGCCGGACCGGGGUCCGAGAUCUGCGUCGCGCUGGGCACGCUGGCCACCCGGUCCGGAAUGAGUCGGGGCUCCGGGAGGUGCCCGUGGGCAGAGCGUUAGGGGCGCGGCCGUGCCGGACCCGCCCUGGGGACCCGCUGGAGCUGGAGGAGGAACUAACUAGCCAGCUUCCGUUCCUCAGCCUUUCUUCUCUAAACACCAAGUUCCACCAUUGACAGAACACUGAGUCCUGCACAGUCACAUGGACACGAGUAAGGAGAGUUCAGAGGCUGCAGUGGAGUUCCACACGAAGCACAGGAGGUGAAACCCCUUUUUCCUGGCUCCUCAGGAGACAUG
rnacentral:lncRNA from 10 species